AGAUGAACGCUGGCGGCAUGCCUUACACAUGCAAGUCGAACGGCAGCACGGGGGCAACCCUGGUGGCGAGUGGCGAACGGGUGAGUAAUACAUCGGAACGUGUCCUGUAGUGGGGGAUAGCCCGGCGAAAGCCGGAUUAAUACCGCAUACGCUCUACGGAGGAAAGGGGGGGAUCUUAGGACCUCUCGCUACAGGGGCGGCCGAUGGCAGAUUAGCUAGUUGGUGGGGUAAAGGCCUACCAAGGCGACGAUCUGUAGCUGGUCUGAGAGGACGACCAGCCACACUGGGACUGAGACACGGCCCAGACUCCUACGGGAGGCAGCAGUGGGGAAUUUUGGACAAUGGGGGCAACCCUGAUCCAGCAAUGCCGCGUGUGUGAAGAAGGCCUUCGGGUUGUAAAGCACUUUUGUCCGGAAAGAAAACCUUCGCCCUAAUAUGGUGGGGGGAUGACGGUACCGGAAGAAUAAGCACCGGCUAACUACGUGCCAGCAGCCGCGGUAAUACGUAGGGUGCAAGCGUUAAUCGGAAUUACUGGGCGUAAAGCGUGCGCAGGCGGUCCGCUAAGACAGAUGUGAAAUCCCCGGGCUUAACCUGGGAACUGCAUUUGUGACUGGCGGGCUAGAGUAUGGCAGAGGGGGGUAGAAUUCCACGUGUAGCAGUGAAAUGCGUAGAGAUGUGGAGGAAUACCGAUGGCGAAGGCAGCCCCCUGGGCCAAUACUGACGCUCAUGCACGAAAGCGUGGGGAGCAAACAGGAUUAGAUACCCUGGUAGUCCACGCCCUAAACGAUGUCAACUAGUUGUUGGGGAUUCAUUUCCUUAGUAACGUAGCUAACGCGUGAAGUGAC
rnacentral:rRNA from 1 species